CGUAAUGGAAAGCAAGAGUGCUUCCUGAGGAGGGUCCUUCUCAUGGACAGCAAAGAUGUUUCUAUGAGUUCAGCUGCAGCUUGGCGAUCUUUCUUGGGAAGCUGAUCUCCUAUCCCCCGGGCCUCCUGACUACAGCCUGGCUCAUCGCUGAGCUGGGAAAGAUGCACUACCAACCUCAGUGUCACCCAGGUGCCUCCAAUCAGCGAAGUCCAAACUGAAGCCAGACCCCAAGGAAGCCCAGCUGAUGCAGUCCCUAGAUAUCAGCCUCCCAGGGCAGAAAACAGUGUCAAAAGGGAUAGAGAAUGUUAUGCAGAGGGACGAGACAAGGAUGACCCAACCACGCUGCAACGUGCUAUAGUAAAAGAUUUCACCUCAAAUAUCCGGAGCUGACUUGCUGGAUUUGCACUCUGGCCUCCCAGAUCUGUUCUCUAUCUGUGUUCUCCAUCUCAUCGAGUGGCUGCUCCAUUAUUCCAGAAACCUGGAGGCUACCACCCUCUCCUCCAGCCCCUACAGUGACAGCCAGCAAUUCCUGUGGAUUUUCCCUCCUAAGUAAACCCAGAUUUCCCUCAGCUCCCCUCUCUAGUCUUCUUCUAGCUUCUGGCCUCCCUCCUGCCUGUUGACUGUGCUGCACCCAGACUGACCCCUAAGAAU
ensembl:lncRNA